rnacentral:rRNA from 1 species
AGCGAACCGGGAAGAGCUCAAAUUYGAAAUCUGGCGUCCCAAGGGCGUCMGAGUYGUAAUCUACAGAGGCGUUUUCCGCGCCGGUCCGCGUCCAAGUCCCUUGGAACAGGGUAUCGAAGAGGGUGACAAUCCCGUGCUUGACGUGACCGCCGGUGCUAUGUGAUGCGUSUUCUARGAGUCGAGUUGUUUGGGAAUGCAGCUCAAAACGGGUGGUAAAUUCCAUSUAAGKCUAAAUAUUGGCGAGAGACCGAUAGCGAACAAGUACCGUGAGGGAAAGAUGAAAAGCACUUUGGAAAGAGAGUUAAACAGUMCGUGAAAUUGUUGAAAGGGAAACGAUUGAAGUCAGUYGWGUCCGAGAGGCUCAACCGGUCCUGCCGGCUCACUCCCCUCGGACGGGUCAACAUCGGUUUUGGUCGACGGAAAAGGGAACGGGGAAAGUGGCACSUCSUGGWGUGUUAUAGCCCCGCGUCGCAUWCGUCGACCGAGACCGAGGAAUGCAGCUUGCCCUCACGGGCCGGGGUCGCCCACGUACGAGCUUAUG